rnacentral:rRNA from 1 species
AUUGAACGCUGGCGGCAUGCCUUACACAUGCAAGUCGAACGGCAGCGCGGGGCAACCUGGCGGCGAGUGGCGAACGGGUGAGUAAUAUAUCGGAACGUGCCCUGGAGUGGGGGAUAACGUAGCGAAAGUUACGCUAAUACCGCAUACGAUCUGAGGAUGAAAGCAGGGGACCUUCGGGCCUUGUGCUCCUGGAGCGGCCGAUAUCUGAUUAGCUAGUUGGUGGGGUAAAAGCCUACCAAGGCGACGAUCAGUAGCUGGUCUGAGAGGACGACCAGCCACACUGGAACUGAGACACGGUCCAGACUCCUACGGGAGGCAGCAGUGGGGAAUUUUGGACAAUGGGGGCAACCCUGAUCCAGCAAUGCCGCGUGUGUGAAGAAGGCCUUC